UGGGGUCUAGCUCAGUGGUAGAGCACUUGUUUAGAAUGUAAAAGGCCCUGGGUUCAAUUCCCAGUACAGCAA
rnacentral:tRNA from 1 species